CCAAUAGCGUAUAUUAAAGUUGUUGCAGUUAAAAAGCUCGUAGUUGAAUUUCGGGAUCAAUGUUUCGGUCAUGCCGUUGGUAUGCACUGAUAUCAUUGGUUUCUCACCUUCUAAAGAACCGUAAUGCCAUUAAUUUGGUGUUACGGGGAAUUAGGACUGUUACCUUGAAAAAAUUAGAGUGUUUAAAGCAGGCUCACGCUUGAAUACAUUAGCAUGGAAUAAUGAAAUAGGACAUCCGAUUCUAUUUUGUUGGUUUCUAAGGAUCGAUGUAAUGAUUAAUAGGGAUAGUUGGGGGCAUUAGUGUUCAAUUGUCAGAGGUGAAAUUCUUGGAUUUAUUGAAGACUAACUACUGCGAAAGCAUUUGCCAAGGAUGUUUUCAUUAAUCAAGAACGAAAGUUAGGGGAUCGAAGACGAUCAGAUACCGUCGUAGUCUUAACCAUAAACUAUGCCGACUAGGGAUCGGAUGAUGUUAAUUUUUUAAUGACUCAUUCGGCGCCUUACG
rnacentral:rRNA from 1 species